UGGUUCAGUAAGGCUUCAGUAAUGUUUCUGUCAUGCUUCAGUAAUGUUUCUGUCAUGCUUCUGUAAUGCUUCAGUAAAGCUUCAGUAAUGUUUCAGUAAGGUUUCAGUAAUGUUUCAGUAAAGCUUCAGUAAUGUUUCAGUAAAGCUUCAGUAAAGCUUCAGUAAUGUUUCAGUAAAGCUUCAGUAAUGUUUCAGUAAAGCUUCAGUAAUGUUUCAGUAAAGCUUCAGUAAUGUUUCAGUAAUGCUUCAGUAAAGCUUCAGUAAUGUUUCAGUAAAGCUUCAGUAAUGUUUCAGUAAAGCUUCAGUAAUGUUUCAGUAAGGCUUCAGUAAUGUUUCAGUAAAGCUUCAGUAAUGCUUCAGUAAUGCUUCAGUAAUGUUUCUGUCAUGCUUCAGUAAUGCUUCAGUAAUGUUUCAGUAAUGUUUCUGUCAUGCUUCAGUAAUGCUUCAGUAAUGUUUCUGUCAUGCUUCAGUAAAGCUUCAGUAAUGCUUCAGUAAUGCUUCAGUAAUGUUUCAGUAAUGCUUCAGUAAUGCUUCAGUAAUAUUUCAGUAAUGCUUCAGUAAAGGUCACACUGUUCUAUAGCUUCAGGUCUGCUGCAUUUGUAAUGAAGGUGGCUUGGUUAAUGGAGGAUAAAGUGCCCCAGUCCUUCGUUUCAACGACCCUAUGAUGACUCACACCUUCCUCCCUGAAGGUCAUCGAGAAGACGGGCUUCCCCAAGAAGCUCACCAGGAAACCAGAGGACUUCAUACUGUGCAGGUAGGUACAACGAGAGCGCGACCGGUUAACCCGACAAAAUGGAAUCACAGAUAUCACAGAUACAUGGCAUUGGUGAAAUAUGAAUUAUUAUUGUAUGCAUAGCCGGUCUAUUCAAAUACGAUCUCUUUCCCUGGGUGGUUGAACAUCUUCAACUGGGUGGGUACUGAAAGAAAAGACCUUUACAUCUGCUCUGAGACUGGUCCAAAUGGUACUCUAUUCCAAAUGAAUAAAGACAUUACAAAUGUCAUAUUAUGUCUAUAUACAGUGUUGUAAUGAUGUGCAAAUAGUUAACAGUACAAAAGGUGGGGACAUAAAUAUGGGUUGUAUUUACUAUGGUGUUUGUUCUUCACUGGUUGACCUUUUCUCGUGGCAACAGGUCACACGUCUUGCUGCUGUGAUGGCACACUGUGGUAUUUCACCCAGUAGAUAUGGGAGUUUUUCAUUGUUUAAAAAAAUAUUUUGUGGAUCUGUGUAAUCUGAGGGAAAUAUGUGUCUCUAAUAUGGUCAUCUAUUUGGUUGGAGGUUAGGAAGUGCGGCUGAGGGUAAUAUAUGUGUCUCUAAUAUGGUCAUACACUGUCUGGCAGAACGUUAAACUGCUGUUGUCAAUCAUUAUUUCUCCCUUUGUGACCUUAACACUGAGAUUUCCACAUUAUUCUGCUCAUGGUCCCAAAUUGAUGUCAGGAAAUUCUGGUGAAUCAAUUUGGAAAGUAAUGUAGUCUAGUGGUUUUUCAUAUUGAAUAACAGGUGAUGUUAACUGUGGUAUAUUAUGACAAUCAGUCUGUGUUGAUAGACUGUGAACUGUGGUAUAUUAUGACAAUCAGUCAGACUUCUUUUCUUUCAACAUGUCACUGAGUUGAGAAUGGUGAUAUCACACCGUCUCUUUCAGACAUUGUCCGGUUAGAUGCCCCAGAUAUUGUGUGGCCUACCACUUCGCAGCUGAGCCUCGUUUAAGAAACAGACGCCUCACAAGUCCUCAACUGGCAGCUUCAUUAAAUAGUACCUUCAAAACACCAGUCUCAACGUCAACAGUGAAGAGGCGACUCCGAGAUGCUGGCCUUCUAGGCAGAGUUCCUCUGUCCAGUGUCUGUGUUCUUUUGCCCAUCUUAAUCUUUUCUUUUCAUUGGCCAGUCUGAGAUAUGGCUUUUUCUUUGCAACUCUGCCUAGAAAGGCCAACAUCCCAGAGUCUCCUCUUCAACGUUGACAUUGAGACUUGUGUUUUGCGGGUCCCUUUUUCAGGACCCUGUCUUUCAAAGAUAAUUUGUAAAAAACUUUACAGAUCUUCAUUGUAAAGGGUUUAAACACGGUUUCCCAUGCUUGUUCAAUGAAUCAUAAACAAUUGAUGAACAUGCACCUGUGGAACGGUCGUUAAGACACUAACAGCUUUCAGAUGGUAGGCAAUUAAGGUCAGUUAUAAAAACUUAGGACGCUAAAGAGGCCUUUCUACUGACUCUGAAAAACACCAAAAGAAAGAUGCCCAGGAUCCCUGCUCAUCUGCUUGAAUAUGCCUUAGGCAUGCUGCAAGGAGGCAUGAGGACUGCAGAUGUGGCCAGGGCAAUAAAUUGCAAUGUCCGUUCUGUGAGACGCCUAAGACAUCGCUACAGGGAGACAGGACGGCAGCUGAUCAUCCUCGCAGUGGCAGACCACGUGUAACAACACCUGCACAGGAUCGGUACAUCCGAACAUCACACCUGCGGGACACUGAGUUAUACCAGGAACACACAAUCCCUCCAUCAGUGCUCAGACUGUCCGCAAUAGGCUGAGAGAGGCUGGACUGAGGGCUUGUAGGCCUGUUGUAAGGCAUCACCGGCUACAACGUCGCCUAUGGGCACAAACCCACCAUCGCUGGACCAGACAGGAAAGUGCUCUUCACUGACGAGUCAUGGUUUUGUCUCACCAGGCGUGAUGGUCGGAUUCGCGUUUAUUGUCAAAGGACUGAUCGUUACACCAAGGUCUGUACUCUGGAGCGAGAUCGAUUUGGAGGUGGAGGGUCUGUCAUGGUCUGGGGGGGUGUAUCACAGCAUCAUCGUACUGAGCUUGUUGUCAUUGCAGGCAAUCUCAACGCUGUGCGUUACAGGGAAGACAUCCUCCUCCCUCAUGUGGUUCCCUUUUAUUUAUUUUACAUUUUAUUUCACCUUUAUUUAACCAGGUAGGCCAGUUGAGAACAAGUUUUCAUUUAUAACUGCGACCUGGCCAAGAUAAAGCAAAGCAGUGCGACAAAAACAACAACACAGAGUUACACAUAAACAAACGUACAGUCAAUAACACAACCCUUCCUGCAGGCUCAUCCUGACGUGACCCUCCAGCAUGACAAUGCCACCAGCCAUACUGCUUGUUCUGUGCGUGACUUCCUGCAAGGCAGGAAUGUCAGUGUUCUGCCAUGGCCAGCAAAGAGUCCGGAUCUCAUUCCCAUUGAGCGCGUCAGGGACCUGUUGGAUCGGAGGGUGAGGGCUAGGGCCAUUCCCCAGAGAAAUGUCUGGGAACUUGCAGGUGCCUUGGUGGAAGAGUGGGGUAACAUCACAUAGCAAGAACUGGCAAAUCUGGUGCAGUCCAUGAGGAGGAGAUGCACUGUAGUACUUAAUGCAGCUGGUGGCCACACCAGAUACUGACUGUUACUUUUGUUUUUGACCCCCCCUUUGUUCAGGGACACAUUAUUCCAUUUCUGUUGGUCACAUGUCUGUGGAACGUGUUCAGUUUAUGUCUCAGUUGUUGAAUCUUAUGUUCAUAGAAAUAUUUACACAUGUUAAGUUUGCUGAAAAUAAACGCAGUUGACAGUGAGAGGAGCUUUCCUUUUUUCUGAGUUUAUUUAAUGAAGCUGCCAGUUGAGGACUUGUGAAGCGUCUGUUUCUCAGACUAGACACUCUAAUGUACUUGUCCUCUUGCUCAGUUGUGCACCGGGGCCCCCCACUCUCCUUUUUAUUCUGGUUAGAGCCAGUUUGCACUGUUCUGUGAAGGGAGUAGUACACUGCGUUGUAUGAGACCUCCAGUUUCUUGGCAAUUUCUCGCAUGGAAUAGCCUUAAUUUCUCAGAACAAGAAUAGACUGAUGAGUUUCAGAAGAAAGGUCUUUGUUUCUGGCCAUUUUGAGCCUGUAAUCGAACCCACAAAUGCUGAUGCUCCAGAUACUCAACUAGUCUAAAGAAGGAUAGUUGUAUUGCUUCUUUAAUCAGAACAACAGUUUUCAGCUGUGCUAACAUAAUUGUGAAAGGGUUUUCUAAUGAUCAAUUAGCCUUUUAAAACGAUAAACUUGGAUUAGCUAACACAAUGUGCCAUUGGAACACAUCAGUGAUGGUUGCUGAUAAUGGGCCUCUGUAUGCCCAUGUAGAUAUUCCAUAAAGAAUCAGCCGUUUCCAGCUACAAUAGUCAUUUACAACAUUAACAAUGUCUACACUGUAUUUCUGUUCAAUUUGAUGUUAUUUUAAUGGACAAACAAAUGUGCUUUUCUUUAAAAAAAACAAGGACAUUUCUCAGUGACCAAAGCUUUUGAACAAUAGUGUACCUGCACCAUAUGACUUGUAAGUAAGCCCUCCAUUCAGAUACACGCAUCACUACAAUGUGGAACUGCAUUGGCACUAAGGUGAAGAACCAAAUAUUGGAGAAUGUCAAACAAGCAGUACAGAAUAGUUGGCAUAUAAACAAAAACAAUAUAUUGUUUACAAUAAAAGUACUGUUUACUGAACACAUCCAAAUAUUGAAUAAUCUGCAAAACAUUAUUAGAAUUGUUUAUUUUAUUUGCAACCAUAAUUAUUAUCAAAAGAAUAUAGUCUAAAUUCACUCAUUGAAAACUUUAUUUUGUACUACUUAUAAAAAAUACCCAGUUUUACAAAAGUAAAUCUAUGCUUACUAGUUGGAGAGAGUCCAUCUCAUAACAGUCAUCAGCUUUAUUCAGUCUUUUCAGUUGUUUUGUGAUUCUAUAGUUCCAUAGAAUGUUCUAGAUUGUUCAAACAGUGAUUCUGAAUUCCAUUUCAGCUGAUCAGGAGCUGAAUUUUUAAUCCAUUCAAAAAAAGCAUGUGGUCCCUUCUCCAAGAGACAGCAUUAGAAUAUCAUUGACAUAGUGCCUUUAUGUACAAAAACAAUGUACAAAUCUAUAUAAAACAAUCUAACGUUAGCCUCUACAUCUCACUAUAUCUGUUGUAAAUAAAUAUUUGGUUGUCUGACUUCAUAAUGUAGGAAAUAGUUGAAUCCACGGUAAAGGCAUGUUAGGUGUUCUUUGACUCUAUCUAGCUACCAGAGAGACAUGCACCUAUGCUGGUGUUUGGAAAGGCCUCACUAGUUGAGUAACCCAAAUGGUACCCUAUUCCCUAUGUAGUGCACUACUUUGGCCAGGGCCCUAUUCCCUAUAUAGUGCACUACUUUAGACCAGAACCCUAUUCCCUAUGUAGUGCACUACUUUAGGCCAGGGCCCUAUUCCCUAUAUAGUACACUACUAUAGACCAGGGCUCGAGCUCUGCUCAAAAGUAAUGCAGUAUAUAUGAAAUAGGGGGCCAUUUUUAGUGGCUCUCAGUGACUUGUGAUGUAAAUACCAGCACAUGCCUAUAAUAGACAAUACCAACGUCUAGUCAGAUGGAUAGCUACCAAGCCUUCAUUGGUUGUCUGUGAUGAGACAGAGGUACAGUGGGAGGAGCCUCUUACAUAUCCUGCCUUGUGAUGUAAAAACACUAUGCUUGGUCACCAUAGACUAUGGUUGUGUCACAAAUGUCAUCAUAUUCCCUUUAUAGUGCACUACAUUUGGCUAGGGCCCAUAGGGCUGUGGUCCAAAGUAGUGCACUACAUUUGGCUAGGGCCCAUAGGAUUGUGGUCCAAAGUAGUGCACUACAUUUGGCUAGGGUCCAUAGGACUGUGGUCCAAAGUAGUGCACUACAUUAGGGAUAGGGCACCAUCUGGGACACAGCUUGUAUAUAAUGUCUGUCAGGCUAGGAGGUGAAGGUGAUCCCAUGAUGUAGUAAUCCUCCUCUCAGAGCCAUCCUCCCCUCCUCUCAGAUCGAGACAGGUCCUCCUCUCAGAGCCAUCCUCCCCUCCUCUCAGAUCGAGACAGGUCCUCCUCUCAGAUCGAGACAGGUCCUCCUCUCAGAUCGUGGCAGGUCCUCCUCUCAGAUCGAGACAGGUCCUCCUCUCAGAUCGUGACAGGUCCUCCUCUCAGAUCGAGACAGAUCCUCCUCUCAGAUAGUGACAGGUCCUCCUCUCAGAUCGUGACAGGUCCUCCUCUCAGAUCGUGACAGGUCCUCCUCUCAGAUCGUGACAGGUCCUCCUCUCAGAUCGUGGGUGCUGUUACACUUGGCGGAUGCAGAAGUAGCAACACAAAUUCAACUACAACACUUAAAUGCAAGAUAUCCACAGGAAAAAAAAACUAGGCUAUAGCCUUAGAAGCAAAUUGCUCAAAUUGCUUGUUUUUUGUUCGUGAUGUUGACCAUUCCUUUCCAAGCCCUGAAUGUAUGAAAUAUAGCUUACUUUCUUUUUUCAACAUUAAAAGAAAGUCCAUCAAUAUGUAUAUUUUAUGGAUCAACAAUCUCAAAUAAACAGAUGUAUGUUAUGCACCUCUACAUCACAACAUCUGGCUUUGGAAUAAAAUCUCUCUCUAUAGCAGCCAAGGCAAUAUGUAUAUAUGUAUACAUGAUGUUCAUAUACAAUAAGUAACAAGAAAAUAGUUAAGGACAUAGACACUGUAACAUAUAGCCAUGUCGUACAGAGAGGAGAGGAGGAAGAGGAGGAAGAGGAAGGUGAAGGAGGAGAGGAGGAGGAGGAGGAUGAGAGGGGGACGUGAAGGUGGGAGGAGGAGGAGGAGAGGGGGAUGUGAAGGUGGGAGGAGGAGGAAGAGGGGGACGUGAAGGUGGGAGGAGGAGGUUCUUAGGUAAUGGUAUAAAACUAUUCAGAACUGGGGUGGAAGGAGUUAGGAUAUAGCAUGUGUCUGACCUCCUCAGUAAGAGGAAAAGUUUCUGCUCAACCCAGUAGAGGCAGUAGUCUACUGAGGUCCUGUGUUAGUCCCACUGAGGCAGUAGUUUACUGAGGUCCUGUGUUAGUUCCACUGAGGCAGUAGUCUACUGAGGUCCUCUGUUAGUUCCACUGAGGCAGUAGUCUACUGAGGUCCUGUGUUAGUCCCACUGAGGCAGUAGUCUACUGAGGUCCUGUGUUAGUCCCACUGAGGCAGUAGUCUACUGAGGUCCUCUGUUAGUUCCACAGAGGCAGUAGUCUACUGAGGUCCUGUGUUAGUCCCACUGAGGCAGUAGUCUACUGAGGUCCUGUGUUAGUUCCACUGAGGCAGUAGUCUACUGAGGUCCUCUGUUAGUUCCACUGAGGCAGUAGUCUACUGAGGUCCUGUGUUAGUCCCACUGAGGCAGUAGUCUACUGAGGUCCUGUGUUAGUCCCACUGAGUCAGUAGUCUACUGAGGUCCUGUGUUAGUCCCACUGAGGCAGUAGUCUACUGAGUGUUAGUCCCACUGAGGCAGUAGUCUACUGAGGUCCUGUGUUAGUCCCACGGAGGCAGUAGUCUACUGAGGUCCUGUGUUAGUCCCACUGAGGCAGUAGUCUACUGAGGUCCUGUGUUAGUCCCACUGAGGCAGUAGUCUACUGAGGUCCUCUGUUAGUCCCACUGAGGCAGUAGUCUACUGAAGUCCUCUGUUAGUUCCACUGAGGCAGUAGUCUACUGAAGUCCUGUGUUAGUUCCACUGAGGCAGUAGUCUACUGAGGUCCUCUGUUAGUCCCACUGAGGCAGUAGUCUACUGAGGUCCUCUGUUAGUCCAGAUCUGUCAAGAAACCCAUCCGGAGUUCCUAAGUCUUUCAAUAAGUUGUUUUGUCCCUCUUUAAGUUACUAGCUCAAUCUGCAAUAGGUCCUGUUUUAUUGUGUUCAAACAGGCAAGAAACCCUGAUGAUGAGGUUGGUGAUGGUGAUGAUGAUGAUGAAGAUGAGACUAGUGAGUUGUUUAUUCUCCAGGGUGCUUCAGCAUUCUCCAGAGUGCUUCAGUAUUCUCCAGAGUGCUUCAGCAUUCUCCAGGGUGCUUCAGUAUUCUCCAGAGUGCUUCAGUAUUCUCCAGAGUGCUUCAGCAUUCUCCAGGGUGCUUCAGUAUUCUCCAGCGUGCUUCAGCAUUCUCCAGGGUGCUUCAGUAUUCUCCAGAGUGCUUCAGCAUUCUCCAGAGUGCUUCAGCAUUAUCCAUGGUGCUUCAGUAUUCUCCAGCGUGCUUCAGCAUUCUCCAGGGUGCUUCAGUAUUCUCCAGAGUGCUUCAGUAUUCUACAGGGUGCUUCAAUAUUCUCCAGAGUGCUUCAGCGUUCUCCAGGGUGCUUCAAUAUUCUCCAGAGUGCUUCAGCGUUCUCCAGGGUGCUUCAGCAUUCUCCAGAGUGCUUCACUAUUCUCCAUAGUGCUUCACUAUUCUCCAGAGUGCUUCACUAUUCUCCAGAGUGCUUCAGCAUUCUACAGGAUGCUUCACUAUUCUCCAGAGUGCUUCACUAUUCUCCAGAGUGCUUCAGCAUUCUCCAGGGUUCUUCAGUAUCCUACAGGGUUCUUCAGUAUCCUACAGAGUGCUUCAGUAUUCUACAGAGUGCUUCAGCAUUCUCCAGGGCGCUUCAGCAUUCUCCAUAGUGCUUCAGCAUUCUCCAGAGUGCUUCAGCGUUCUCCAGGGUGCUUCAGCAUUCUCCAUAGUACUUCAGCAUUCUCCAGGGUGCUUCAGUAUUCUACAGGGUGCUUCAAUAUUCUCCAGAGUGCUUCAGUAUUCUCCAGGGUGCUUCAGUAUUCUCCAGGGUGCUUCAGCAUUCUCCAGGGUUCUUCAGCAUUCUCCAGAGUGCUUCAGCAUUCUCCAGAGUGCUUCAGUAUUCUACAGGGUGCUUCAGUAUUCUACAAGGUGCUUCAGUAUUCUACAGAGUGCUUCAGGCUUCCAAUAGGAGGUCCAACAGUCCUUUCCUGAAAAGGUUAAUCAACCAACCAUCUCAUCUCCAUGUAGAUAGGUGACAGUAAUCACUAGGUGGCUUUGCUGCAGAAAGGUUAUUCUGUGUGUGUGUGUGCUUGUGUCUGCGUGUGUCUGUGGGUGAAGGCUGAAGAAAUGUUGCUUGGCCUCUACGACCCUCCCGAACUUCUACAGACGCACCACUGAGAGUAUCCUGUGAGGCUGAAUCACCGCCUGUUAUGACAACUGCACCGCCCGCAGCCACUUGAGCCACGUCCUGUUCACCCCGCUACCAUCUAGAAGGUAAUUAAGGACCUCAGCCACCAGAGCCACGUCCUGUUCACCCUGCUACCAUCUAGAAGGUCAUUAAGGACCUCAGCCACCUGAGCCACGACCUGUUCACCCAGCUACCAUCUAGAAGGUCAUCAAGGACAUCAGCCACCUGAGCCACGUCCUGUUCACCCCGCUACCAUCUAGAAGGUCAUCAAGGACCUUAGCCACCUGAGCCACGACCUGUUCACCCAGCUACCAUCUAGAAGGUCAUCAAGGACCUCGGCCACCUGAGCCACGACCUGUUCACCAAGCUACCAUCCAGAAGGUCAUUAAGGACCUCAGCCACCUGAGCCAUGGCCUGUUCACCCCGCUACCAUCUAGAAGGCGGAGACAGUACAGGUGCAUCAAAGCCGGCCUCCACCCAGUACCCUGCCCUGAACCGUAUUGACUGUUACUAGCCAGCUACGACUCAGUAGCCUGCCCUGAACGUUAGUGACUGUUACUAGCCAGCUACCACUUAGUACCCUGCCCUGAACCUUAGUCACUGUUACUAGUCAGCUACCACUCAGUACCCUGCCCCGAACCAUAGUCAUUGUCACUAGCCAGCUCCCACUCAGUACCCUGGCCUGAACCUUAAUGACUGUUACUAGCCGGACUCCACACAGUACCUUGCCCUGAACCUUAGUGACUGUUACUAGCCAGCUACCAAUCGGUACCCUGCCCUGAACCUUAGUGACUGUUACUAGCCGGCCUCCACCCAGUACCCUGCCCUGAACCUUAGUGACUGUUACUAGCCAGCUACCACUUAGUACCCUGCCCUGAACCUUAGUGACUGUUACUAGCAAGCUACCAAGCAGUACCCUGCCCUGAACCUUAGUGACUGUUACUAGCCAGCUACCACUUAGUACCCUGCCCUGAACCCUAGUCACUGUUACUAGCCAGCUACCACUCAGUACCCUGCCCUGAACCUUAGUGACUGUUACUAGCCGGAC
ensembl:lncRNA